ACUAUUUUCUUAACACUUCUCAACAUUGCUUGCAGAGACCAAAAGGUUCGUGCCGAAUUGCGUCGAAUUGAAGCGCAGUCCACUGCCAAAAGCCGACGGUCUCCGAACGUCGAGGGGGCUGCUUCGAGUAACGCCGGAAUCGCAGGGGAUCGUUCAGACAUUUCAUCGAACAGUAUGGCUUCACGAGGGGCAAACGCGGUGCUGUCGAGGGCUAAUAGGAUGAAGACGAAGUUGCAAUCAACACUAUCAGCGAGUUUUUUGGAAAUCGAGGACGUUUCGCACCAACACGCUGGGCAUGCGGCUGUGAAGGGCAGCGCUGGAGAGACUCAUUUCAAUGUGAAGAUUGUGUCACCAAAAUUUGAAGGGCAGAGCCUCGUGAAGCGCCAUAGAAUGGUGUAUGAAGCGUUGGCUGAAGAGCUUCAGUCUGGAUUACAUGCAAUUUCAAUAGUGGCAAAGACUCCCCAAGAAACUGGAACAAAAUGAUCAGAUUCGCCUCACAAUGUGAGUUUUCAAAUGAUCUCUUAGUUUGGAAUUGCAAGGAUUUAGGCAUGUAUAUGAUGUUUUCUGCUAUAUUAUAUGCUACUGAUCAACUUCAAGAGGUGAAUUGAAGUUUUAAAUGUCAUGGAAAAUCUUCUUGGCUUGUUAAUUACAACUGGGAAGACACUGUAAUGUAGGAGGAUUCUGCUCAGAGGAAAAAGAAUAUAUUUUCACUUAGUAGCUGCCUUAACUGUGCUACUUCUAUCGAAUUUGAAUUGAUUGGUUGUUUUAAAGUAGUUCUCAUUGAACUGAAUUGACUUUUUUUGGAUCUAAAAA